AAAUAAGUCAGCUAAUUUAAGCUUUUAGGUUCAUACCCUAAAUAUAGAAUAUUUUUAAAAAUUCUCUUAUUUA
rnacentral:tRNA from 1 species